rnacentral:rRNA from 1 species
GACGAACGCUGGCGGCGUGCUUAACACAUGCAAGUCGAACGGAAAGGCCCUGCUUUUGUGGGGUGCUCGAGUGGCGAACGGGUGAGUAACACGUGAGUAACCUGCCCUUGACUUUGGGAUAACUUCAGGAAACUGGGGCUAAUACCGGAUAGGAGCUCCUGCUGCAUGGUGGGGGUUGGAAAGUUUCGGCGGUUGGGGAUGGACUCGCGGCUUAUCAGCUUGUUGGUGGGGUAGUGGCUUACCAAGGCUUUGACGGGUAGCCGGCCUGAGAGGGUGACCGGCCACAGAGGGACUGAGAUACGGCCAAGACGCAUACGGGAGGCAGCAGUGGAGAAUAGUGCACAAUGGGCGGAGGCCGGAUGCAGCAUCGCCGGGUGCGAGAUGACGGCCUUCGGGGUGUAAACAGCUUUCGCGUGUGACGAAGCGUGAGGGACGGUAAUGGGUAAAGAGGCACCGGCUAACUACGU